UACAGAGGUGGCAAGCGUUGUUCGGAAUUACUGGGCGUAAAGGGCGCGUAGGCGGCCAUCUAAGUCAGACGUGAAAUCCCCCGGCUUAACCUGGGAACUGCGUCUGAUACUGGAAGGCUUGAGUAUGGGAGAGGGAUGUGGAAUUCCAGGUGUAGCGGUGAAAUGCGUAGAUAUCUGGAGGAAUACCGGUGGCGAAGGCGGCAUCCUGGACCAUUACUGACGCUGAGGCGCGAAAGCUAGGGGAGCAAACGGG
rnacentral:rRNA from 1 species